ensembl:lncRNA
AGCCAAUCACAGGCAAAAUCCGAGAACACGUGACUGACCCGGAAGCCCAACGCUGUUGGUCGCAGGCGUCCUCUGUGCUUUUCUGAGGAGUUUUACGUUUUCGCCCUUUGAUCGCAUUCCCGCCACCUGGGUGUGUCCGCUCCGCUCUUCUCACUCACACACACACACGGCCUGAGGAGCGGCGCAGACACACACACAGGCUCUCUAGUUUGCACCUUCCCAAAACACGGUACGUUUAUCGACUGCUGACUUCUGUACGUUCCUAAUCCUAACACU